CGCGUAGGCGGGAUCGUGGUCGGCCGUGAAAUCCACCGGCUCAACCGGUGAACUGCGGUCGAAACUGCGAUUCUUGAGCUUGGUAGAGGAAGGCGGAAUUCCUGGUGUAGCGGUGGAAUGCGUAGAUAUCAGGAAGAACACCGGUAGCGAAGGCGGCCUUCUGGGCCACAGCUGACGCUGAGGCGCGAAAGCUGGGGGAGCGAACA
rnacentral:rRNA from 1 species